GACGAACGCUGGCGGCGUGCUUAACACAUGCAAGUGGAGCGACGAACCAGGGCUUGCCCUGGGGCAGAGCCGCGAACGGGUGAGUAACACGUGGGUUACCUGCCCCGAUGAUUGGGACAACCCGAGGAAACUCGGGCUAAUACCAAAUGUGCUCCUGGCCAUAAUGGCCUUGAGGAAAGGAAGCUUCGGCCUCCGCAUCGGGAUGGGCCCGCGGCCCAUUAGCUAGUUGGUGGGGUAACGGCCACCAAGGCGACGAUGGGUAGCUGGUCUGAGAGGACGAUCAGCCACACUGGGACUGAGACACGGCCCAGACUCCUACGGGAGGCAGCAGUGGGGAAUCUUGCGCAAUGCGCGAAAGCGUGACGCAGCAACGCCGC
rnacentral:rRNA from 1 species